AUUGAACGCUGGCGUCAGGCUUAACACAUGCAAGUCGAACGAUGAUUAUCUAGCUUGCUAGAUAUGAUUAGUGGCGGACGGGUGAGUAACAUUUAGGAAUCUGCCUAGUAGUGGGGGAUAGCUCGGGGAAACUCGAAUUAAUACCGCAUACGACCUACGGGUGAAAGGGGGCGCAAGCUCUUGCUAUUAGAUGAGCCUAAAUCAGAUUAGCUAGUUGGUGGGGUAAAGGCCCACCAAGGCGACGAUCUGUAACUGGUCUGAGAGGAUGAUCAGUCACACCGGAACUGAGACACGGUCCGGACUCCUACGGGAGGCAGCAGUGGGGAAUAUUGGACAAUGGGGGCAACCCUGAUCCAGCCAUGCCGCGUGUGUGAAGAAGGCCUUUUGGUUGUAAAGCACUUUAAGCAGGGAGGAGAGGCUAAUGGUUAAUACCCAUUAGAUUAGACGUUACCUGCAGAAUAAGCACCGGCUAACUCUGUGCCAGCAGCCGCGGUAAUACAGAGGGUGCGAGCGUUAAUCGGAAUUACUGGGCGUAAAGCGAGUGUAGGUGGCUCAUUAAGUCACAUGUGAAAUCCCCGGGCUUAACCUGGGAACUGCAUGUGAUACUGGUGGUGCUAGAAUAUGUGAGAGGGAAGUAGUAUUCCAGGUGUAGCGGUGAAAUGCGUAGAGAUCUGGAGGAAUACCGAUGGCGAAGGCAGCUUCCUGGCAUAAUAUUGACACUGAGAUUCGAAAGCGUGGGUAGCAAACAGGAUUAGAUACCCUGGUAGUCCACGCCGUAAACGAUGUCUACUAGCCGUUGGGGUCCUUGAGACUUUAGUGGCGCAGUUAACGCGAUAAGUAGACCGCCUGGGGAGUACGGCCGCAAGGUUAAAACUCAAAUGAAUUGACGGGGGCCCGCACAAGCGGUGGAGCAUGUGGUUUAAUUCGAUGCAACGCGAAGAACCUUACCUGGUCUUGACAUAGUGAGAAUCCUGCAGAGAUGCGGGAGUGCCUUCGGGAAUUCACAUACAGGUGCUGCAUGGCUGUCGUCAGCUCGUGUCGUGAGAUGUUGGGUUAAGUCCCGCAACGAGCGCAACCCUUUUCCUUAUUUGCCAGCGGGUUAAGCCGGGAACUUUAAGGAUACUGCCAGUGACAAACUGGAGGAAGGCGGGGACGACGUCAAGUCAUCAUGGCCCUUACGACCAGGGCUACACACGUGCUACAAUGGUAGGUACAGAGGGUUGCUACACAGCGAUGUGAUGCUAAUCUCAAAAAGCCUAUCGUAGUCCGGAUUGGAGUCUGCAACUCGACUCCAUGAAGUCGGAAUCGCUAGUAAUCGCAGAUCAGAAUGCUGCGGUGAAUACGUUCCCGGGCCU
rnacentral:rRNA from 1 species